GGCGGAGGGUAAGAGGGGGCGCGAGACCCAGUCCUCGCUGGGGGCGCGCGCACGGGGCGGCUGGGGCGGGGCCAGCGAGGGGCGUAGCCAAGCCGGGGGCGCGCGGCCCCUGCAAUGUCUGCAAGGGUCGGGAGAAGCCGGCGGCCCGCAGGCCCGGAGGGGACCGAAGGGGCUGGGGGGGUCCGGGGCUGAGCCAGCAGGGUCCGCUCCCUCACAGGGAAGGCUGAGUGCCCGCCUUGGAGAGGAAGGCCGCCCUUUGCCAGGUGGGCCGCCUCCGCAAAGACUUGGUCGUCGUCAUCUGGGGCACUCGGCCAAGGAAGGACUUCCUCUGAGCUGUAAUGAUCAACCCGCGGCGGGGUCAACAAACUCUCUUUUCAGGGCAGACGUCUGCUGGAUCCAUGUCAACACUCGAAAGGCUGAGAGGGGGUCUGGAUUCCCUGAUGCGCCCAAGAGCCUCCAUCCUGGGUCCAACCGGGCUAUCAGUUUCUCUGUCCUCUAAGGUAGGCAGACCCCGAACUGUCCAAGUGCACAGUAGUGGGUCAGGCUGCUU
rnacentral:lncRNA from 1 species